rnacentral:lncRNA from 1 species
CAGAAACCUGACAUUCCAGUGACAGCCAGGAUCACCAGGGCAGGACGGCUCCCCAACCCAGGCUCGUCCUGGGGGAAGUGGGGGGUAUCCAGCCAGCAGCCUCAGCCCUGUGGGGACAGGCCAUCUCUGGUGAGAGAUUUUCCUCAUCUUCCUGUAGGGUGUUUCUUCUCCUCCCCAAGGCCAAGGUGGGUUCUGGGGCCCCCUGGGCUCUGCCAGUGCAGGCUGCAAAGCUGAACGUCCUGGGCUUGGGGCUUGGAGCACUGAGGACAAAGUGCUGGUGUCAAUGUCGGGCAGGGGAAGACCCUGGAAAGCCUGGGUUGGCCUUCAGGGACACCCCCACCCAGAGGCCGCAGGGAUCAUCUGGAAGGCGACUGACACUCCAUGGAGAAGGACCAGGUGGUGACGGGAGCCCUGGCAGGCCUGAAGGAGACUUUGUCAGCAGAGGGGCCUGGGGAGAGUGAAGACCACCACCCGUUUCCCACCCCCAGCCGUCCAGAGGGGCUGAGCCUUGAAGAGAGGGGAGCGGGGAUGUCUUGAGGCCAGAAACCACCCCAACAUGCACGCACAUGCACCUGCAUACAUGCACACGCACAUGCACACGUGAAUACAUGCACAUGCACACGCGAAUACACACACGUGAACGCACACACGAAUAUACACACGCACAUGCACACAAUGUGAAUGCACACACGAAUACACACGCACAUGCAAAUGCACACACAUACUAAUGCACACACGCACAUGCACAUGCAAAUGCACACACACGAAGGCACACACACAUGCACACGCGAAUACACACAUGUGAACGCACACGCGAAUGCACACGCGCACACAUGCAAAUGCUGCUCGGGGGCCUGAGUGGGAUUGAGACUGUGUGGACCUCCGGCCACCAACUCCCAGAGUCACCCCUAGGCUGGACCUCAGGGGUUGGCUGUUACGGAGGUGUGAUGGUCGAAAUCAGGAGUGUCCAAUCUUUUGGCUUCCCUGGGCUUGGGCCACAUUAGAAGAAGAAUUGUCUUGGGCCACACAUAAAAUACACUAACACUAACGAUAGCUGAUGAGCUAAAACAAACAAAAAAAAUCAAGAAAAAACUCAUAAUGUUUUAAGAAAGUUUAUGAACUUGUGUUGGGUCGAAUUCAAAACCAUCCUGGGCCACAUGGGGCCCACAGGCCGCAGCUUGGACAAGCUUGGUCUAAAUAUGUGUGUUCCCCCAAAAUGCACAUGUUGACCUGUCCCCCAGUGCAGUAAUAUUCAGAGGUGAGGCCUUUAGGAGGUGAUUAGGUUGUGAGAGUGGAGGCCCGUGAAUGGGACUGGU